rnacentral:sRNA from 1 species
GAGGCCUAUGCCACGAGGCACGCCGAAGUA